GAUGAACGCUGGCGGCGUGCCUAAUACAUGCAAGUCGAGCGAACAGACGAGGAGCUUGCUCCUCUGACGUUAGCGGCGGACGGGUGAGUAACACGUGGAUAACCUACCUAUAAGACUGGGAUAACUUUGGGAAACCGGAGCUAAUACCGGAUAAUAUAUUGAACCGCAUGGUUCAAUAGUGAAAGACGGUUUUGCUGUCACUUAUAGAUGGAUCCGCGCCGCAUUAGCUAGUUGGUAAGGUAACGGCUUACCAAGGCGACGAUGCGUAGCCGACCUGAGAGGGUGAUCGGCCACACUGGAACUGAGACACGGUCCAGACUCCUACGGGAGGCAGCAGUAGGGAAUCUUCCGCAAUGGGCGAAAGCCUGACGGAGCAACGCCGCGUGAGUGAUGAAGGUCUUCGGAUCGUAAAACUCUGUUAUUAGGGAAGAACAAAUGUGUAAGUAACUAUGCACGUCUUGACGGUACCUAAUCAGAAAGCCACGGCUAACUACGUG
rnacentral:rRNA from 1 species